GACCAGACUCCUACGGGAGGCAGCAGUGGGGGAUAUUGCACAAUGGGGGGAACCCUGAUGCAGCGACGCCGCGUGGGUGAAGGAGCGUUUCGGCGCGUAAAGCCCUAUCGGCAGGGAAGAAGGAGGACGGUACCUGACUAAGAAGCCCCGACUAACUACGUGCCAGCAGCCGCGGUAAUACGUAGGGGGCGAGCGUUAUCCGGAUUCACUGGGUGUAAAGGGAGCGUAGACGGCCAUGCAAGCCAGGGGUGAAAGCCCGGGGCCCAACCCCGGGACUGCCCUUGGAACUGCAUGGCUGGAGUGCGGGAGGGGCAGGCGGAAUUCCUGGUGUAGCGGUGAAAUGCGUAGAUAUCAGGAGGAACACCGGCGGCGAAGGCGGCCUGCUGGACCAUAACUGACGUUGAGGCUCGAAAGCGUGGGGAGCGAACAGGAUUAGAUACCCCUGUAG
rnacentral:rRNA from 1 species